UCCCCUCAUCUGCAGCCUUGCCCCUCCUCCUCCGCCUCACUCCUCAAGCGGUCAAGCCGCAUCGCCAAUAAUCUCUCCACCCCACGACGAUGGCGACUUCGCCGCCGCCCCAGCGGCCAGUACCGCGCCCGCGCCCGGCGGGGGCAGGGUGUACCAGGUGAGCGGCGUGCCGUUGGAGUUCCCCUACAAGCCGUACGGGGCGCCGCUGGCCUUCGUGGGUCGCUUCAUCACCAUGCUCGACCGCGGCCGCCGACAGGGCCGCUCACACGCGCUGCUCAAGUCGCCCACCAGCACCGGCAGGUCGCUCUUCCUCCUGCGUCGAUCUCGCCUGGCAGCGCCACUGCCUGCUUCGCGUGCCCCCGCUGCCGCUUACCCCCUCCUCCAUGGUGGCGCCUUUGUCCACGACGACAUCCAGCAGUAGCCCACUCCUGAAAUCCGGAGAAGGCGGCGGCUGCCAAGAAGAAUGCGCCGACCAUCUACUACGUCACGUAAGAUCUGCUCUCCCAUGAACUGAAACGAUGGGGCAAUCUUGCCAGCCUGGUUUCUUGGAUGCUUGUCUUGAAUCGUGAGAUGAAUCCUGAUUGAUUUCAUUCCCCUUCGAAAAAUCCUGAUUAGUUUCUUGGUUUCGUUGUCUGUCGGUUGCAAGAGGAUCAGAUAAGGUGGUCUGGAGCCGUGCAAGACGAUGGCCAUCUUGGCCUCAAGGAAGCACUAUUGCAUCAAUAAGUCCGUAUGCAUGGCUGAGUCAAUUGAUGAGGAAUGCAAGAAGCUCCUAGACGACAAAGUUCAAGGAUGCCCAGAAUUCAAGAAUGUACAGAAGCUGAGUCGUUGUCCAUCCCUUCAGACCCAUGGCUGCUAUGAAGUUCAUGAUAUUGAGGAUCUUCCUAUUGUCGGAAGACAAGUCAAAGGAUGUCCAUAUUUUGCUGCACAAACCAUGCCAAAAGCAGCACAAUUGAUUUUCUGCCCAUAUAACUACCUAAUUAGUCCAAUUGUCAGGAGAGCAAUGUACAUUGAUAUAACUGGCUCAAUUGUUAUUCUUGAUGAAGCGCGGUAAGCCCCUGAGUCUGCAGACUCAUGAUUCUUUUUCAGUGUCAAUCAAUGGUUUCCUUAGUUGCAAGACAGCGGCUCCCCAUGUUAUCGAUCCGGUGUUGCUGUGUGUGAGGACGGACAUGGGGAAUGUGCAACAAGGCAGUGCUCGCGUUGCAGCGGAGUGGAGUCGGCCAUCACUACCGACCGCUGCUCACCGGUCCUCGUCCCUCACCCCCCAUCUAGAUGUUCGCAUAUCAGGCGAAGAAGAGAGGAAGGAUCUUGAGGAAGAGUCAAGAACAAGGUGAACCUCUUGGCUGUCGCAACCCGAUGGCUGAGGCCGCAAUGAUCAGGAAGAGGCCAUCAACCUUGAUAUUUUCUUCAGUUUGGUAUUGGCCAAAAAUCUGUAACCCUGAUUGCUCUGCAAUAACUGCUCCGGUGAGUUCUUCCCCCAUUUUCCUCUUUUAUGCCUUGCUUCCGUUGUUCGACAUGAUCUUCUAUCCAAGUUUAUCAAGUUUAUCCAAGUGUGUGUGCUAUGAUAAUUACGGAUACUAGGACAAAUGGUGUUUCUGUAAGGCCAGACAUAUUUCUUCUCUUCCUAAAUCAGUGAUGCACUAAUUAUCUUAAGUAUUUUGCGAAUCUCGGCAAUCACCCAACGAACAAAGCUUGCGACACGUGUUUGACUUUAUUCCAAUUGUUGCACAAUUUGUUCCUCUAGAAAAGUCAUUCCAGAAUGUUAAUGGCAUCGUAUUUCCUUUAGAGAAAUCUUUUACUGAAUUUUAAUUUUCCUUAUACAUGCUUGUCAUUUUUUUCCAUACAUGCUUAUCAUUUGGCAUAAUGUUAUUUUGUGACACUUGAUUUUUUCUUGUCUUCCUCAUUUUAAUUCAAGGAGCAGUGAUAGAGUUUGUAAUCUGUUGUUGUGGCCUUGCACUUCUUCUAAUCUGCUGCUGGAGAAUGAUCCUAGGCCUCAUUAGUUAGCUUGAUGUAUUUUUUUGAGGAUACGCUUGGAGCUUGCGCCCGCUUUUACGUGUAUUUACGGUUGUCUUUGGAAAUCCGAUUUCAGCAAAUCCACUAGAUUUGGAGCUGAGAAUUUACUCAACAUUCACAUCCUCUGUAACAUCAGAGAUAGGCACAACGCAAGCAUGUUUGGUUGUUUGACUAUUUUGUAAAUUUUGUUUGUUUUUCUGAUUGAAUAUGGAUGCUAACUUCAUGAUUCUAAGGUGAUUCCGGUCACUUGAUAGAAGUAGGUGCAGAUUAUCUGCACUUAUCUCAUACUGAUGCUUCCCUUUCUAAAAGCCAGUGAUUCCAGUCAUUCAUGCCAAGAUAUAUUUUAGGUUACACUGACCGGACUGUAUUGACUGUAUAUACUACUGGCAUACAAAAUUGAUUAGGUGGCGACACUAUGUCCCCUAUUAAGUGUUGUUGUACCUACUGCUAAAUUAACCAUGCACAGUGACACGAUGAUGUGUUUGAUCUUCGACUGUUUCUUCACUCUGAAACCCAUGUUAGGCUUGUUGUCCCCUGUUAAAUGUGUGGUUGUACCUUCUGCUAAGUUAAACAUGCAUUUUCAUUUGCUCUAUUAUAGUCUCCAAAUGAAAAUGGAUAGAUAAUGUCUAGAUGGUUGUAAAACUCUGGGGUAAAUCGUUGAUGGGUCAUAUGUGAAUUUGGCCUCCAGUCAUUUAGUUAGGUUUCUGGAUUUGCUUGGAUUAUGAUAAGUUUAGCUCAAGAGUGUAGCCACUUCGCCAUUUGUUUAUUUGAUUGAAUAACUUGUAUCUGAUUCUUUUUAACAAGAUCGUGCUGCUCUUGAUUAUUUGCUUUGCGUUUUUUAUUGAGCCGAGCGAGAGGAACCAACACUAUUUAGCUUCUGGGGUCUCUGUUUCAAAUGACUCGAUGUGGCCUUGGUGACACUGGCUUGUAUAGGAAGAAGAUGCUGAUGACUCCUGCUAUAGCUCAUCAAUGACUGCAACAAGUACUCCCAAGGGAAAAGUAAACUCCUUCUUUUAGUUAUGUUAGCGGUUGUUUGAUGUAUUUUAGCUCAUUGCAGCCGGCUAGGCAACUGCAUUCUUCACUCCAAUUACUCAUAUAUGUUGGUAUUGUUCUGGGUUUCACUAGAUUUAAAUCAGUUUUGUCUGCGCCGAGCUGUAGGUUGUUUGAUUAUUGUAUCAAGUGGAACCGAACUUCUCAUGAUUCUCCCAAAAUUUUGCUAAACAAUGGUUGACCUACUAUACACUUCAAACAGAGUCAUGGAGAUCUGAACUAGAAAGUGCACUGUAGUGUAUUAUUUGCUGAAUAUCAUGCACAAUCCUCUGCAAUUUGAAUAUUUGGAAAAGAAGUAGUAUGUUCUUCCCUUGCUUGCCACUUCUGUUGCAUCCUUUUGGCAACCUUGCAGCCCAGUCGCUCUGCAGCUCUACAGGCUGCAGGUAACUGCAUUCUCAACCUUAUCAUUCAGUUUGCACAUGUGUGCAACUUUGAACGAUUAGUAAGAUGGACCAAGAAGAAAGUGAGCUACAAGUUUGGUGUUACUUUCUAGCAGACGAACACAUACGUUUGAAUAAACUUGUGUACAAGGACUACCUAUGUACUAUAUGCAGUGCAAAAUAAAAUUCUAACUAAUUUGCUAGACUUUAAAAGUGUUGGCCUAAAAUAAUUUGUUCUUCUCUAAACCUCUGAAUUUUUGGGUUUUAUCACCUUCUAUGAACUAAAUGCAGUUUAGUGCUUCAGUAACAUAAAUUAGUGUUGGCAGAUUAAUUUGUUGCACAAUUAUAAAGCAAGGCCAAAGGUCUAUUUUAUUUGUAAUUAUCGUGCAUAUACGAGUUUAAUAGAUUAAUCUAAAUUUCUCGACAACAACAUGUUCUCACUCAUUGUUACUAUCUAUUUGCUUCAGAUGCAGGCUUGUACUACACUUGCAAUAUCAUUUCAUUCCUUUAGUAGUAUCAUUCACCUUUUGACCUAAUGUCCACGUAUUAUUUGUUGUUGGACUUCUAACCAGAUAUUGGGCUGCUUUUUGGCCUAACUUUUGGGCAAUGUUAUCUCCAUAGAUCUGAAUGCAGUUUUAUCAAUACACAUUCCAUCCUUUCUUGUUUUGUUUUUUCGACCGCUGUUUGUAAUUCUGUGAAUUUGGGCAGCAUCAUCUCCAUAGGUCUCCAGAUGUGAUUAUUUUAAGUUCAUCUUGCCCAUGCUUACGAGUGUUAUUGAAUUAGUCUCCGAGCAAGUAUUAAGCAUGUCCUAUUGAUGUAGCAAGCCCAUUGUCUGAGGAUGCAACUUUUGUUCUAUCCUUGCCCCUCCUUGUAGUACUUUGCUGUCUCACUCACAUUAAAUAGUCUGAAGAAGUUUCUAAACCAUCUGUGGAGAACAUGGAGAUCAAGACCAUAUGUUGAUGUGUUCAGGCUCAAGCUCACCUGAUGGAAGUAUAGUAUGAACGAGUUACAAUUACCACUAACUGGACAAACUUUUUCCAUGUAGUAAAGGCUUAGGAAAGGUGACAUGCACAUCUUUCUUUUUUAAGACAAACAUGGCCUGCUGUUGCCACUGUGCACAACCUUUCAUAAGAAGGAAGAAUGUUGAACCACAAGACAGCAACAGAAGGCUAUCUAUAUGAUAUGGCUACCUUUAUGGUUUGCUUUACAUAAGACCAAUGUAAAUAAGCUAUCGUGAACUGCUUUCUUUGUACGUUGCUUAAUACUUUUGGGCUAUCAUGUUACCGUGAACUUGACUAUAAACACGUGUAUAAAGAUGCUAUUGAAGCAUCUACUUCCAUGUUGUUUAAAACUGCUACAUAUGUUUGAUUAUGUAUGAAUAUGUCUUUCCAA